rnacentral:ncRNA from 1 species
AUCAUUUUGAGGAAUUCUAACAGAAGUUUCUAUUGGUAGUGUAAGUUGGGCAAAGUGUCUUAUUUUUUUAAAGUAUUUAAAAGUAAAAUUACAUGUUAAUACGUAGUAUUAAUGGCGAGACUCCUGAGGGAGCAGUGCCAGUCGAAGACCGAGGCUGAGACGGCACCCUAGGAAAGCGAAGCCAUUCAAUACGAAGUAUUGUAUAAAUAGAGAACAGCAG